rnacentral:rRNA from 1 species
CAAGUCUCCGUUGGUGAACCAGCGGAGGGAUCAUUA